UACGGAGGGAGCUAGCGUUGUUCGGAAUUACUGGGCGUAAAGCGCACGUAGGCGGCACGUUAAGUCGGAUGUGAAAAGCCCCGGGCUCAACCCGGGAAGUGCAUUCGAAACUGGCGCGCUUGAAUAUGGAAGAGGGUCGCGGAAUUCCCGGUGUAGAGGUGAAAUUCGUAGAUAUCGGGAGGAACACCAGUGGCGAAGGCGGCGACCUGGGCCAAUAUUGACGCUGAGGUGCGAAAGCGUGGGGAGCAAACAGGG
rnacentral:rRNA from 1 species